rnacentral:rRNA from 1 species
UGAAUACGAGACGCUAAGGCGUCGAAGUAGUGUAUGUCAUACUUCCAAGAAAAGCUUGCACUGUCAUAGAUAAAAAACGCCUGUACCAUAACCGACACAGGUGGGUAGGUAGAGUAUACUAAGGGGCGCGAGAUAACUCUCUCUAAGGAACUCGGCAAAAUAACUCCGUAACUUCGGGAGAAGGAGUGCCUUAUUAUUAAGGCUGCAAUAACAAGAUCCAAGCAACUGUUUAUCAAAAACACAGGUCUCCGCUAAGUCGUAAGACGAUGUAUGGGGGCUGACGCCUGCCCAGUGCCAGAAGGUUAAAGAAGUUGGUUAGCAUUUGCGAAGCUGAUAACUGAAGCCCUGGUGAACGGCGGCCGUAACAAUAACGGUCCUAAGGUAGCGAAAUUCCUCUCGGGUAAGUUCCGACCCGCACGAAAGGCGUAAUGAUUUGGAUACUGUCUCGGAGAGGGGCUCGGUGAAAUAGACUUGUCUGUGAAGAUGCGGACUACCUGCACCAGGACAGAAAGACCCUAUGAAGCUUUACUGUAACUUGAAAUUGAAAUUGGACUUUAUUCGCGCAGCAUAGGUGGGAGGCGUUGAUUAUAAUCUUGUGGGAUUAUUGGAGCCAUCAGUGAGAUACCACUCUUGUAAUGUUAGAUUUCUAACUUUGAAUCAUUAUCUGGUCAAAGAACAGUUUCAGGCGGGCAGUUUGACUGGGGCGGUCGCCUCCUAAACGGUAACGGAGGCGUACAAAGGUUUCCUCUGAACGGUUAGAAAUCGUAUCUAGAGUGUAAAGGCAUAAGGAAGCUUGACUGUGAGACCUACAAGUCGAGCAGGGACGAAAGUCGGUCUUAGUGAUCUGACGGUACUGAGUGGAAAGGCCGUCACUCAACGGAUAAAAGUUACUCUAGGAUAACAGGCUGAUCUCCCCCAAGAGUUCACAUCGACGGGGAGGUUUGGCACCUCGAUGUCGGCUCAUCGCAUCCUGGGGCGGUAGUACGUCCCAAGGGUUGGGCUGUUCGCCCAUGAAAGCGGUACGCGAGCUGGGUUCAGAACGUCGUGAGACAGUUCGGUCCAUAUCCGGUGUAGGCGUUAGAAUAUUGAGAGGAGCCUUCUUUAGUACGAGAGGACCGAGAAGGACAUACCUCUGGUGUACCAGUUAUCGUGCCAACGGUAAACGCUGGGUAGCUAUGUAUGGAGUGGAUAACCGCUGAAAGCAUCUAAGUGGGAAGCCCACCUCAAGAUAAGUAUUCUCAUCAA